UACGUAGGUGACAAGCGUUGUCCGGAUUUACUGGGCGUAAAGAGCGCGCAGGCGGUCGAUCAAGUCGAGUGUGAAAGCCCCCGGCUCAACUGGGGAGGGUCAUUCGAUACUGAUCGACUCGAAGGCAGGAGAGGGUAGUGGAAUUCCCGGUGUAGUGGUGAAAUGCGUAGAUAUCGGGAGGAACACCUGUGGCGAAAGCGGCUCACUGGACCACAACUGACGCUGAGGCGCGAAAGCUAGGGGAGCAAACAGG
rnacentral:rRNA from 1 species